CAAGGAUCAUUAGUAGGUAUUACAAGAUUUAUUGGGUUUAGUAGUGUUUCAUUAGGCAGAAACAAGUUGGGUGAGGUUAAGUGGUUGUAUGUCAUAAAUAACCAUUGCGAAAGCGUUUUGAGUUCGUUAAGUGGAUGUUACAAGAGUUCUUAGUGGCUUUAAUUAGAUUGUUUUGCUUGCAAUAUUAAUAUACACACACACACACACACACACACACACACACACACAAAAUUAUCACAUGCACACCAAACACACACACAAAAAAAAAAAAAAAUUAUCACAUGCACACCAAACACACACACAUACACACACACCGGCCGUAGCGGAGAAGAUUGGGCGGUGUCCUCAGUCCUCACACCCACACCUUUGUCCACCCAGCAGUGAGUAGUACCAGAAUCCUUGGUGGGUACUGGUCUUGGAUAGUGGUACCGGAGAUGGAGCUGUUGAGAUAGGAUGCAAUUCAUGCAAAACAACUACUUCGGCUGUAUAGCACGAUGUUUGCUUCUUUAUUGGUAGAGUUUGUAUUGUUUUGAUAUUGCAUUUGUUCAUGGGAAUGUAAAUCUAGCUAUAAUCCGUAAUAAUAAGACCUUAUCUAGCUAUAUAUUUUUUAUUUUAUUUUUCGUUGAAAUAACACUUGUAAUUUUAUAAUUUUAACUUUGUUUAGAUAGCACUCCAAUUAAGGAUUGUCCUGGUGUUUGAUAUAAGACUUACAAAAUAUGAGAAACAUGACCCAAGUAAUAAUGUUCAAGAAAUUCUUGACUAACUAUUCGUAUUUUGAAAUUCACAAAUUUCUUCAUGGUGUCAAAAUAAAAAAGAAAACUAAAUUCUUUACAUGACGAAAAAAAAAUUGUGUUUCCUUUAUUUGGUUAGAAAGUAGAAGUUUUUAGUAUUCCGAAAAUGUAAUAUAGUGCAGUUUGGCUGUGCUCUUCUUUUUUUCACCAUUAUAAUGUUUUUGUGGCACCGUUAGUGAAAAGUACAGACGGUUCGUUGGACUGGCUUUGUAAACAAUGAACACUAGAGGCUGUGACACAGUCUGGACGGCACCAACAAACCCCCAAGAAGAAGAACCUGGCAUUGAUUUAAAAUUUUGAUUGUUAGUUUGAGUCAUUAGUUCAAGUAUUUGUUGUGUCUAAAAAUGUAGUGCAUUUCAGUCAGGGUGUUUUCUUUCUUCUCGCGAUUUUUAAAUGAAUUAUGUACAUAAAUAUUGGACCACAGUGAGACCUCACCCAUACCUUCCUCCCAGUAAGUGCAAUUCAGGAGAAGCUUUACCUGGUGCCUGGGCUUUUUGGAGGUAAAACUCCUGCCUCCUCAUGACCUGAGAUAGCUGAGCCACUGCGAGAGGCACGGGAAGAGGAUCUGAGGAGAUCCAGGAACAUGUGCUCAAGAGAUGAGUGGAGGGGCUGGGCCUUUGCUGGCCUGGUUGAGUGGAUCAAAUGCACUUCCUUGGGAGGUGUAGCCAGUGCCUCGCAUGCUAGUCAUGGGUCUUCGUAACCCAUCACUGGAACCACCUGUCUGCCCCAUAAAUUAUCAGUUAGGUCCCUGUUGAACUGUUCCAAGACGAGGUGCAGCACCUGUCAGCCGUAUGGCUGUGCCUGGUGUGCGGCUCUGUGUCUGUCAGUGGAAAUAUCAAGUGAUAGGUCAAAAUCAUAUAUUAUCAUUGGGCCUAUAAGACAGCAGAAUGAUUACCAAAAUGUAAGUUGACAACUUAUCAAAAACUAUAAAUAAGAGGGAAACUAACAAUUGACGUCCAACAAUAAAGUAUGAAAAGAUUAAUGCACUAAAAUAUUACAAGAAGGGAAACAUUUAAGACAUACAAAUAGAAUUGGGAUAAUGUUUAAAAUUCAGAUGAACUAUGAUUACUCUACAACAAUUUAAUGUUCAACAAAUGAGUAUCUUCAUGAUAAUGAUGACUAUCGAAAAAAGAAAAAUGUAUGUACAAUAUGUUCACAUUAAACAACCAUAAAUUACAAUAAAGCUUUUGGCUUAA